GUUAAUGGGUGAUAGCGUGCCUUUUGUAGAAUGAACCGGCGAGUUACGAUUUGUUGCAAGGUUAAGCGGAAAAAGCGGAGCCGUAGCGAAAGCGAGUCUGAAUAGGGCGCAUAAGUAACAGGUCGUAGACCCGAAACCAGGUGAUCUACCCAUGUCCAGGAUGAAGGUAAGGUAAUACUUACUGGAGGUCCGAACCCACGCACGUUGAAAAGUGCGGGGAUGAGGUGUGGGUAGCGGAGAAAUUCCAAUCGAACUUGGAGAUAGCUGGUUCUCUCCGAAAUAGCUUUAGGGCUA
rnacentral:rRNA from 1 species